rnacentral:rRNA from 1 species
CCUACGGGUGGCAGUAGUAGGGAAUUUUCGUCAAUGGGCGCAAGCCUGAACGAGCAAUGCCGCGUGAACGAGGAAGGUCUUCGGAUCGUAAAGUUCUGUUGAAGGGGAAAAAGAGCGGAGAGAGGCAAUGGUCUCCGAUUGAUAUUACCCUUCGAGGAAGUCACGGCUAACUACGUGCCAGCAGCCGCGGUAAGACGUAGGUGGCGAGCGUUAUCCGGCAUGAUUGGGCGUAAAGGGUGCGUAGGCGGCCUGCUAAGUCUGGAGUGAAAGGUACCGGCUCAACCGGUAUAGGCUCUGGAAACUGGCGGGCUAGAGAGCAGGAGAGGGCGGUGGAACUCCAUGUGUAGCGGUAAAAUGCGUAGAUAUAUGGAAGAAAACCAGUGGCGAAGGCGGCCGCCUGGCCUGUUACUGACGCUGAGGCACGAAAGCGUGGGGAGCAAAUAGGAUUAGAUACCCCGUGUAGUC